UUCCUGAAUAGAGGAAUUUCGUUUUCCUUACGCAAAUAGAUUCGUGGGAAUAUAUAAGUGAAGGUAACUACAGAGUUCACUCACUCAGUUUGCUUUCAGCCAUGGUAGCUGCAAAUGAACCCGUCAAUUGAUCGUCUGUUUCUUUUAACUGAGAAUUUUUGAGCAACAGUUUCCACAUGCAUUGGUGAUUUUGUACGCGUUUGCAAAGUAAUUCAGUUCCUUGUCGAAUCCAGAGAAAGUUAUCAGAGAGGCCAUUGAGGUUUUAAAGAAUUAGCUCGGUGAGGACAAGAAAGGUAUGUGAUAUAGAUAUACG